CCUCAGUUGAACAUCAACAAAGCUCUCUUCCAUAGUCGCCAGCUCAUUUAUAAUACUGAACUAUGUCACGAGGCAGGGAUCCUUUGGCAUUGAGCCAGGUAAUUGGUGAUGUGUUGGAUCCUUUUGUUAAGUCAGCAACAAUGAGGAUUAAUUAUGGUGACAAGGAGAUCACAAAUGGAACUGGACUACGAGCAUCAGCAGUGCUCAAUGCACCACAUGUUGAGAUUGAAGGCCACGACCAAGCAAAGCUUUACACUCUUGUUAUGGUGGAUCCUGAUGCACCAAGUCCAAGCAAACCAGAGUACAGGGAAUAUCUACAAUGUUCAAGAACCCCUUACCUAGACAACCUGCAGGAUUGGAUGCAACCCUCUCGAAAAAGGAGGGGGGUGUUUCUUUUCCAUCCAUCAACAUCUGAAGAAAUCUUGUUGUGUAUGCUAUUGGGUAAGAAAGCACAAUUUCUGCGAUAGCAUAGUUUUUUUCCCUAUCACUGUAGUUCACUUAAUCUAAAUCUCUUUGUUCACUGUGUUUAUUGUCAACAAUUAUUAGUUUCCAGUUAAGUUGAUAUCUGUAGCUUGGAAAUAAAAUAAAUAACAGUGCAUCUUAUAUCAUUACAAUAGUUUCUAAAUUCGUCAAGAUAUUUUACAAAUUAGGCUUGGACAAGGUAACUGAAAAGGCAUCAUAGAAAAAACUGUCAAUUCAUUACUUCAUGGAUAGAUAUAUUAGAGAAAAAACAGUAAUGGACCACACAUUCUAACCUGGCUACUUUAAGAUCAUCAUUCUCAGUUGUUACAAUUAUCAAACAUAGCAAGGUAAAUUGUCAUAGUAUUUAAUAAAAUAAGGCAUUAGUUACAAGAUUGACGUGGAAAAUUUCACAUAUGCAUGCAUGCAAAGGUUAUAUACUUAUAUUGAUAGUCUGAACCACCGGGGGGGGGGGGGGCGAGACUAGAGUUAAGAGAAAAUUCAUCAAAAAAGCCAAGUGGUAUAUCACUAUUACUUAUACUCUGUACCACUGACAUAUAUUGCUAGAACAAUACUUACCAUGCUCAACUGACAAUUAUAGAUGUUUAAUUACAACUUUACAAGGAGACUAUCAGACUAUAAGCUCGAGAAUUGUGGUUACUGGUUAGGAUUAUCUAGAAAAGUUAUAAACUACGAAAUCUGUGCCUAGGAGUAUCUAAAAGUUGACCGAACUGGCAGAAGGUAUCAAUUUAUAAACUUCUAAUAUGAUGGUCCAAUGUAACAUAAUAGAAGAUAGCCAUUUGCAGAAAUGAAGUUUCUUGUUUGGUUAAUUGAUCAAAUUCUAGAUUGCUACUUGCUAUUAAGAAUCAACCGUCAGAAUAUAAAUGAAAAACUCAUAGAAUAGAUUACGUUUAUGAGUGUGAUAUGUGAAUGUUCACCUCACCUGUUCUUGAUACGAACGCUCAACUAACUGCAUACAUCAAUAUUAAUCUCCUGAUUCAUGUAUGGUUUUCAUAGUUAUGUGCUUAAUUUAGUUUUAAAAAGUUAAUUACUUAAUUAUCUGCAUUGUACAUUAGUGAUUGUAAUGUGGAUUAAAGAUCUAAAGGUGGGGCCCUUGUAUCUUUUCUUAUUGUCUGUUUUCUACAGGUUGGUGACAGAUAUACCAGAGGCAAGAGACAUACGUUUUGGUUAAGCAGUUGGACGGUUGUUAUCUGCCCAACAGCGCCUCAAGUUGAGUAUCUGAGAUCAUGUUAUUUACUGUGGGUCCCACUAUAUCACUUAAGUCAGUGUGGCAAGACUUCUACAGGAAAUCAAGUAGAUGGAUGUUGAUAUCGUUACCUGCUUCACUGCUUGACAAUAUACAAUGCUCGACAAUUGGCAUCUUCUGUGUGGGCCCAUAGAAAUAUGGGACACAGUUGUAUAUUAAAUCUGCGGGACAUCCUAAGAACUUUAAACAUUAGAAGUUAGAACUUCCAUUUCCAGACAAAAAUAAAAUAUGGAAAGAAAUUAGUGUUCAGAUUAAAUACGAGAUCAUAAGGUUGCCAAAUUGCUUUCUGGUUCAGGGUCCCCUUCAAGAAGCUGCCAGCUAAUCCCACAAAUUAUAGUUAUUAGUUCUCGCAAAAUACUAGUGCUGCGACUUUUUUUGAGAACUGCAUCAAGGACUUCUUCUAAGUCAUGCAAUAUCACUGGAUUCAUAAACGUAUCUUUAGUAACACAUGCAAAUCUAGCAGCACAGUCUUUUGAUAGGCUCACCAAGUUCUGUUCUUCUUAGGCCACCAGAUAGACAGACUUCUUUGUUAAUCAUUCAAGACUGCAAGAAAGUUUUAAGUAAACUUUGAACAAAUCACAAAAUUACCAUCAUAAUCAUAAUAGACCGAAUGCAUUUUGCGAAUUUAUGAUUCAUAGUUGAUCAUACUUUAUCCCUUUAUCUCCCUUUUCAUGUAUGGUUAAUAAUGGGAACAUUCCACCUCUCGAUAAUAUAUGUGCAGCUCUGGAUGAUACAAGGGUUUAUGCUAUAGGUAGCAAUAACUCCAUCGCCACAGGCUAUUUGUGCGUGUGUGGGUGGGGGAGGGCGUGGGAACAGUUAGAAAAGUCAGUACUGUAGAAUGGUUAUAGGUAGCCUUCACCUUAAAAAUUGAAAUUACAGUAAGCUUUCUAAUAAGGAAUACAAACUUUUUCAGGCAAUGAAAUAGUUCCCUACGAAAGCCCAAGGCCGCCUGCUGGAAUUCAUCGAAUUGUUUUUGUGUUAUUCAAACAGCAAGCACGACAGACAGUUUAUGCACCAGGAUGGCGGCAAAAUUUCAACAUCAGAGACUUCUCAGCAAUCUACAAUCUCGGAGCACCAGUUGCUGCAUUAUACUUCAACUGCCAAAAGGAGAGCGGUGUUGGUGGCAGAAGGUUUCUGGGAUCAAGCUGAAGUACAGAUACAGAAAAACAUCUACAACAAGGAAGAAGCAUUCACAAUUCAGAAUCUGAUAUCCAUAUAAAACAGUUGAAAACAUAUGAGAUGUUAGUUGACAGUUAAGCACUAGAGUAAUCGACUUAUAUCAUAUGAAACAAACUAGCAUUUGGAGGUUAUCUUCUUAUGUCACUAGGCCUCAAUAAAAUAUUACGAUGUUGAUAUUAGCAAUUAUGAGGAAAGGUGUUCAGUUGGAAAAAAAAUGGUGUUCCAAAGUUCAAGUAUCAAAAAAAUAUUCAAACUAUAAA